rnacentral:rRNA from 1 species
GACGAACGCUGGCGGCGUGCUUAACACAUGCAAGUCGAACGCUGAAGCUUGGUGCUUGCACUGGGUGGAUGAGUGGCGAACGGGUGAGUAAUACGUGAGUAACCUGCCCUUGACUCUGGGAUAAGCCUGGGAAACUGGGUCUAAUACUGGAUACGACAUGUCACCGCAUGGUGGUGUGUGGAAUGGGUUUUACUGGUUUUGGAUGGGCUCACGGCCUAUCAGCUUGUUGGUGGGGUAAUGGCUCACCAAGGCGACGACGGGUAGCCGGCCUGAGAGGGUGACCAGCCACACUGGGACUGAGAGACGGACCAGACUCCUACGGGAGGCAGCAGUGGGGAAUAUUGCACAAUGGGCGGAAGCCUGAUGCAGCGACGCCGCGUGAGGGAUGACGGCCUUCGGGUUGUAAACCGCUUUCAGCACGGAAGAAGCGAAAGUGACGGUACGUGCAGAAGAAGCGCCGGCUAACUACGUG